CGGGAGGCAGCAGUGGGGAAUCUUGCGCAAUGGGCGAAAGCCUGACCCAGCAACGCCGCGUGCGGGAUGAAGGCCUUCGGGUUGUAAACCGCUUUUANCAGGGACGAAAAUGACGGGACCUGUCNAAUAAGGNGCGGCCNGCUUCUUG
rnacentral:rRNA from 1 species